AACGCUCGUCUUUUUCAUAAAUUUCACUACCUAUUCACUAGAAGCCUCACCCAUUUUUUUCUCUCAUCUUUAGUCACAACCAUACCAGAAAACAGAAAGAAGUGAAAACAGAGAGAGACGAGAGAAAAGAAGUGAAAAAAAAAAAAAAAAAUGCAGCCCAUGUUUAGCCUCCAUAGCACUUGUGGACUUCCUCUUUGCGUUUCAACAAUCACCCAUCAUCUCACUUUCUCUAAGGAUAUGGCAGAUCACGAUCUCAGAAGGGAGGCCAUGAAAAAGCACAGAUCACGAGGCGGGGAAGGAGUACAUGCAAAUCAAGAAGUGGGAUUUCAAAGGCUUUGUGAGAGACUGCUGGGACAGAUCAAAAGAGAAGCUGAUUCUGAUGAACUACUCCGUGAUCUGUCCCACAGUGGUUUGGCUUGUAUAGCAAAAGCUGCCUAGUUUGUAAGAACAUUUAGAACUUAUUUCUAGUUAAAAUGUUCUUUUGGACUUGUGUUUUUGUUAGGCUUUCUUCGGAUUCUUAGUAUUUUAUUUACAUGUAUAUCAGUAAGUUUAUCUUUUUAAUCUGGUUUAGUUACUCUCCUGGACUUUUGUCUUUUAAUCUCAUUUGGUUUUAUACAAGAGCUUGCUUUGAUCU